UACGUAGGCAGCGAGCGUUGUUCGGAAUUACUGGGCGUAAAGAGUGUGUAGGCGGUGCUCUAAGUUCGGUGUGAAAUCUCCUGGCUUAACUGGGAGGGUGCGCCGAAAACUGGAGUGCUCGAGCGUGGGAGAGGAAAGCGGAAUUCCUGGUGUAGCGGUGAAAUGCGCAGAUAUCAGGAAGAACACCUAUGGCGAAGGCAGCUCUCUGGGACGGUACUGACGCUAAGGCGCGAAAGCGUGGGGAGCGAACAGG
rnacentral:rRNA from 1 species